rnacentral:lncRNA from 1 species
UGCAAAGAACAAAAAACAGGACGGAAUGAUCGAAUCAGUUACUCGAGGAGGCUCAGGAUUCAGCAAUCAUGCAUGGUGGCAAUGGCAUGGUGCGGGUGGUCGGUCGAUCACCUUGUCCAGGUACUUCUGCGCCAGCACGGGGAUGUCGUUCUUGGGCUUGAUCCCGCCGAGGAGCCCGCCGGUGACCGACCGCCCUCGCUUGAUGUCCGACGACGAUAUGCUGAAGGGUGCCGCUCCGGCAUCGGUGCCCAGGAUGAUCGUCUUCCCCCAGCCCUGCACCGUACAGUCAUUGGGAUUAGCUAGCUGGUCACUGGUCAGUACUCAUGACUCGAUCGCAACAGAUCCCGUGGCCAGCUGCCAGACGAUCGACUUAUGGGUACCGUACCUUCCGAGAGCUUUUGAAGGCUUCCGCCAUGAGCGAGGUGGAGCCGACGCACUCGAAGCAGUAAUCGGCGCCGCCGCCGGUCAUCUCCGUGAUGACCUGCAGGUUUGGAGAUCGUCAGAUCGAUCGGUAAAGCACGACAAGGCAACCAAGAUAGCUGCGCUGGUACAGAUACAGACCUCGCUGACAGCCUUUCCCCCGGUCUCAUUUGGAUUCACGAAGUCGGUGAUCCCUAACCUCUUUGCUGCAAUUACAGGAAUCGACAGUCACAAAACAAACAGCAGUUCGAUGCAACAAAAUCACGCUGGUUCUUGGAAGAUCUUGAGAUGCAAGCAGAGUCGUUGUCAAGUCAAGUACCGAUCUCCAUCUUGUCCGGAUUUAGAUCCACCCCAAUGAUUCUCUUGGCACCACGCAUUUUGGACCCUUGCGCUACCUGCAUUCAGUUCAGGAAUCGCCGUCAAGAUGUCCUGUUACUAUCAGGAACAGGUAGCUAGGGCUAGGCUUUAUGUGUGAUAAGACAUAAGAGGAGCAUUGACGUGUGUAAUCUUUGCAAUUCAAGAUGUGUCAUUAUUACCGCUAACCCGACGGUGCCGAGUCCGAAGACAGCAACAGUUGAACCGGCCGCCACUGCGGCAACCUUCCAAGCUGCACCAACGCCUGCACGCGUCAGCAGCAUCAGCGUGGUGGAUCUAUCUACCCCAAUGUCCAGUGUCCAAUGCUGUCGUCGCGAGCUAGCACCGUACCUGUGGCGACGCCGCAGCUGAGCAGGCACGCCUUCUCCGGCGGCAGCGCGGGGGCGGGGCCGACGGCGGCGAGCUUGACGACGUGGCCGACGUCCACCACCGUGUACUCGGCGAAGCUGGAGACGCACAGGAAGGUGUGGACGGGCUCGCCCGAGGCGGCGAGCGAGAAGCGCGUGGUGCCGUCCCGCGGCAUGUGGCCCGGGCGGUGCGCCAGCACGGAGCAGAUGUUGCUGCGGGCGGACAGGCAGUCGUCGCACUCGCCGCACUGCGGCAGGAACACCGGCACCACCGUGUCCCCCACGGCCACCUCCUGGACAUGCUCCCCCACGCUCUCCACCACGCUGGACAGACAGGACAGUGGACACGACGAAUCAACAACGCAAAUGCCAUGGCAACGGAUCGAACUGCAUGCAUGUGCUCAUCUAUCUAUCGGCGAUUAGAACAAAACUCAAACUUUUCCUUUUUUUUUCAGAACAGAACAAAACCGGCCUGAAAGUAAACUGUGGCUGUCUGAAUGUAAGCCUACCCUACUGCUUCGUGCCUGAGGAUGGACGGAUACAUGGCCGGCAAAUCCUGCAAAAAGGAACAAAAACGGUGUGCGUAAGUAACAAAACUACGAAAAUCUGUGCAUGGAUAUGGAUCUAAGAUCAUCUCCAAUAAAGUUCAAAAAACAACCACUACAUCAGCGACUUUUCCAAAAAAAAAAAGGCAACAUAUUAUUGGGUUACCGUUUCUAAAAUCUCGAUCAUAAUAAAAGAUAGAAGACAAUUUCAAGUAGUACAAUUGUAUUGAGAAUCUUGAUCUUAGAGCAUCUCCGCGAGUUUUAUAAAACAACUCUUUGUUUUCAUUUCUUUAGCAAAAAGUAAAAAAAAAGUUACCCAAUAGUUUGCUAAAUAGUUUUCUUAAAAUAUUUUGAUUAGUCAAACAUCACAUUUGCAUAGAUGAUAUUUUUUAUCUCAUUUUUUUCUAAAUGAGCCGCCGAGCCGAUUAGCCGAAGCACAGAACUGCUCUUCCUAGCGCACGAUCGAUAUGCGGAUGCGAGGAAAUAGGAGGGAAUCAGAAUCAGCCGAUGCCCAGCCGGCACCCGGCAUGGCCGCAUGGGUGUUCUGCAAUCUAUAUCUGCAUCCGUACCUUCAUGCACCAGAAGGUGACGUCCGUGUGGCAGAGCGAGGUGCAGAUGAUCCUGACGCGGACCUCGUGCGCCCGCGGCGGCGCCACCUCCACCUCCUCCAUCUCCAGCGGCCGCCCCGGCGCCUUGCUCACCGCCGCUGCGCGACGAUCACAGCUAGGGCGCUGUUCAUACAACUAGUACAAGGCAGGAAGGAACGAAGCAGGAGAGAGAGACGGAGGUGCGCGCGGCCGGGGAGGAAGGUGCAGUGCACGCACCACACAUACCUCUGCAUCUGAUGGGCUUCGCGGCGCUCUGCUCCAUCGCCGCCGCCACGGCCACCACCCGGUCAGAGGACGCCACAGCUCUCGCUCGCUCGAGGUGCGAGUGCGAUGCGAUGAUGUCCUGUGAAGCUGUGGCAAACAGCAGGCGUGUCAAGUGGGGGUAAAGCAAAACGUAAUUUUCUACUAUCUUCUAUAAUAAUGAAGGACGAAAUUGGUUAGGUAGGUUUUUGUCUGCUCAGCUAGCUUCAGAAAUCUCAUGUGGCUCAACAGUAGCUGCGGGCUGCGGGUAGUGCCCUCACCGGCCUGCCCACGAUAUAGGUCACCGAGCUGUCAUCACCGCUAAAGAAAAAGAGCAUUGUGUUGUGGGUCUGCUUGCUUGGGUGCCAAAAACAUCAAAGGUUGAGUGCCAUAAACCUAUCAUAUUAGGACUUUAGGAGAGAUGAUGUAGUUCCAUGAUUUUGCUUGACAACUUUUGAUUUUGCUUGAUAAGGUUGAGCUGUCAUUACCGCUAAAGAAAGAGAGCAUUGUGGGUCCAUGAUUUUGCCAUAACUAUUGGUGAUGCUCUCCCAUGAUUUUGCUUGACAGCCUUUGAUUUUAGCUUGGGGAUCUGAUAUAGAGAUGCUCUUAGGACAAAAAAUGUAGAAAUGUAAUUGGUUGAGUGCCACGACAUAGUAGUGAGCAUUUUCUUUUCCUCUUAUGAGGCUGAUUGAAGAAGCUUCUAGUGGUUUUGCCAUGACUUUGGCCAUAAAAUUGAUGUGCCAUUUUUUUGGUAAUGAAUCAAUCAAUACCCAAAGUUUAUAGGUUUGUGUUUUAGUCCUUGUUUUUACUCCAGAUACUUUAUGGGUUUUAAUUUUGCACGUUUAUACAUAUGCAUGCUCUUUCAACAUUAUGUAAACUUGGUUCAACAAUAUGUGAAGCCACAACAUUUCAACACAACAUUAUGCGUGGAAAUGUUCAUUUUAAAACCUAUUUCGUCGCCACUUACAUACAUAGAUACAUAGAGUAGCAAAUUGGAGUCACGACAACAAGAUCAUUGCUGUCCACACAACACAAGUGCGCGUACGACGAUGUCCUGGCAGUCAGUCCUGCGUGCGCGCCGGCGGCACGCGGCAUCACGCGCCGUCGUUCUCCUUGGCGCCGUAGUCGUCGUCCAUCCAGAUGAUGCAGCGGAUGCACUUCCCUUGGGUGAGCAGGUCGAACGCGCGGUUUAUCUCCUGGAAACCCAUCUGGUGCGUGAUGAAGUCGUCCAGCUCCAGCUCCUGGAAAAAAAUGCAUGUCAUUCCUCCAGGCAAUCACAAUAAGGCAUGCAUGGAUCGACGACGAUGGAGCUCAUUCAUGAGCUCACAGCAUGCAGAUCCUGCGGAUGAUAUGAUCACCUUGUCUAGGUACUUGUGUGCCAGCACGGGGAUGUCGUCCUUGGGCUUGAUCCCACCGAAGAGCGAGCCGGUGACCGACCGCCCCCGCAUGAUGUCGAACGACGGCACGCUGAUCGGCGCCAAGCUGCCGUCGACGCCGAGAACGACCGUCUUCCCCCAGCCCUGCACACAACAAGAUUCAACGGUGGGCAGUGUUUUUUUUUUUCUGACACUCGUUAAAGAGAUCUUUUUGCCGAGUAUUUUUUAAAAAGCCUUUCUAUCCGGUGGUUUUUUUGUCGAAGUGUUUUUUUUUUUACUUAGAAAAAAACUUCUUUGCCGAGUGUUAAAAAAACACACUUGGCAAAGCCGAUUUCGUUAGUGCAGGCGUGCUGUGACGACCGUGCGGCCGUCCGUACCGU